CUGGGACGGGGAGAAGGCCGUCCGGAUGCGCUUCGGCUUCCUGGCGAAGGGACCGUGGAGGAGCAGGCUGUCCUGGGACACAUCGUUACCUGAGAGCAGAGACACGACAAGGGCGGUCAGAUGUGGCUGCGAAACGAAGUCCGGCGCUGUCGGGUCAGCACUGAUCAGUGGAGUCGUCAGAAACGUCAAUGUCCACGUCCGAGUCCGAAAACUCCUCCUCGUCCUCGUCGCCUUCGUCCCCGUGGCCCUGGGAUCCGGGGCUUUUCGGCGGAGCGGCCAGGCCCAGUUUAGCGAGCUUGGCCUGCUGCUGCUCCAGACUCUGUUUGCGCCACUUGAUGCGUCGAUUCUGAAACCAGACUUUGACCUGCAAAACGAGGAGAAGACGCACGUUAGAGGAGAGGUGAUGUGGAGAUAUUUAAAGGUCUAAAUGUGCGCGGUGGUGACUCUUCCCCCCUCCUCACUAAUCAUUUCUUACCUGAGCUUCUGUCAGUUGCAGAGCGGAGGCCAGGAGGAACCUCUCUGAUCCGACCAUGUACUGCUGCCGUGCGAACUCCUUCUCCAGCCGGGACAGCUGCUCGCUGGUGAAGCUGGUGCGCAUCCUCUUCGACUUCCCACCUUUAGUUUUGAACGAGUGCAGCCCCGCGUUGACUUUGGACAUUGAAGCUGCAAAGAAGAGGAAGAGGGAGGAGUGUCAAAGAUUAAAGUCAUGAUUUGCAAACAGUGGACCCCACAAACGUUUCCCCCCUCGUCUCAGAACUGUCAGGACGGAGGUAAGAGCUGCAGAAACCUCGGCGCUCAGCUCGGUCUCACCUUGCAGCUCCGUUCACACGUGAUUGAACGAGACAAAAGCUCUGGAGAAACACCGUCAUCAUUAUUAUUACUGAGGUGAAAGGGGAUCUUUUUCUCGCCUGCCCGACACAUUUAACAGCCACUGUAGCCUCGGCCUUUCCUGUCCACGCACAUCCAUCACUAAUGAGUUUAUGAAGCCAUUCACAGGACGAUCCGGAACGACCUGCCUCUGUGGCCGCGCUGCUGGAGCUGAGGGCUCAUUACUGGGACCUGCUGGGCCUCGGCUUCACCUUGACUAUGAAUGAGAGGCAGGUUUACAGUCGUCCCACCGUGGUUGUAACCCUUUGUGUCCGUCCAUGUAACUCCGAGCCGAGCCACAAGACAAUCAGAGCCUCUAACAGCAGAUCAAAGCGUCCGUCUCCCUGGAGAAAGUCCCAACAAAGGCGGACAUGCCGAGUCCGUGGGCCGUGAUGGACUCGGAGCAAUAAUUAGGAGCAGACAGCCCACGUUAAAGCCACAUUACCCCUCACUUUCCUGUCCUUUAACCGGAGCAAAGAUCCAGGACCACGGCGGCUAAUUUAGUGUUUUUAACGAGAGCAGAGAGGACACUUCAAACAGGACCACACACAGACCCACGGGUGGGACACAUCUGCUGAACAUCUGGUGACACCUGCUGGACAAACAGAGUAAAAGGCUUUAAGGAGAGAAGAAGAAGAAACAUCUGUGAAACAUCUAAUUAAUGAAGCUGGAAAUCCAAACAUAGUAUAAAACUAUUUAGUUUUGCAAUAACUAAAUUUGUGCUUGAAGAUAAUUUGAGGCCAGACUUACUGUAUACUGAUCAGCCACAACAUUAUGACCACUGACAGGAGAAGUAAAUAACAUCUUGUAACAGUUCAUUGUUCUGUUUGGAAACUUUUGGACCUGGGAUUCAUUCAUGCAGAUGUUACUUAGACAUGUAGCCCCCAUCUAGACCAGACCAGACCAGACCAGACCAGACCAGACCUGAUGGUCAAACUACAGGUUCCUACAGCGACACAUAACACAGUAAAACACACUGAGCUUCUGUGAUCACUGCUCCUCCUUGUGGCUGGAUGAAUCAUUAAAGCUCUUGUGGUGCAACGUGGUAACGUUUGCUUUAAGGCCUGUUUUUGUUUUAUUUUGAUAUUUUGAUUUGUAUAAUAUUGCAUCUCUCCAAAUUCAACCAUAUUGAACAAAUAAAUAAAAAAAUUUAAAUUGAAAUAA